GAUAUCGGCCUCUGUCUUUCUCUGGGGAAGGUUCUGGAAGGAGCUGUUGGGGGUAGCGGCGGGGAUUCGGCUUCACAUGGCGGUGAUCUCCUGGGAAAGGCCCCGCCCGGCUCAAUCCCACCCCCCCCCCCCGGGCCCAGAGGGCUCCCUCUCGGUCGCACCGGUUAAACUUUUGUCUCUUUGAAGCCCCGUUUUCAGGUCCCGGGUGAAAUGUGGAGCUGGCGGAGCCGGGGCUCUGGCUGGAGGGUGAGCCGAGUCUGGAGCGAGUGGGCGAUAAGACUAGAUCCUGUGAGAAGCUCACCAUGAAUCACUGCACCUGGUGUACUCAACCAAAUCAUGAAAAUGCAAGAAGAAAUCAAACCAGCAAUGUGCACAGAACUGUUGUCUGGACUACCUUGUUAUGGAUUGCUUGUGAACCCAUGAAACCAUGUCAAGUGCUGCAGGUGGUGAACAUAUUAACUUUGCUUUCAAGACCAAGUUUGACAUUUUCAAUAGUGUGCUUCCUUUUCUCCUGGCAAGUUGCUUUUUUAAAAAAAAAGCAAGGGCAGGCUCCAAUGUAUUUUCAUGAGCUAGGCACAUUUGUGUGUCAGUUUUUUUACUAUAGUUAUUUCAUGGCAUGAUGACUUAGCUCUGCUUAAAUGUUGGUGUUAUUUAGGGUUUUGUGCUGUUGUAGAGUUAGUUUGCCUCUGAUUUCUGUCGAGACUUCUAUGCUGAUUUUUUUUUUAAAAAGUUAUUCCAAAGUCUCCGAAGGGUGCCUAAUCUACUUAGGUGCUUACCUAGAAGUGUACAUUAUAUAGUCUAGCAUUCUCAGCACUGACCUUAUCUGGUCCAGGGUUAAAAUUAUGUUUAUACUCGCGAUGGUCUUAAUGACUUUGAGAUUGCUUUAUAGCAAUGAUUGAUUACCCUGGGGUAGGGAUGAAGCACGUAAUUGCAGUCACUGCAUGUCAUGCAUUGCAUGAAUGUCUCUGUCACAGAUGCAAAUUCAUGCAGCAAGAUAAUUAGCCCCUCAAACACCACUAGUCAGUAAGUGCAUGGCUCCUCUAAUUCAUUUUCCCAUUUAACAAUGAUGAUAAAUUCACUUAAUCUGUCUUUUUGUGAAAAGAAAAAUGACCCUGCUCUCCCACGGAUUUGAGUUCCGAAGUUGAAGAACAAGUUUUUUUAAAUCUCUCAUCCCCUUCCUGAAUUCAAGAAUGAGUUCUCAUUCUCACUCAGGCAUUCAUUUCAAGUUCACCCUGAGAUUUGGGUAGAUGUGAGUUCAAUCGGGGCACCCCUCAUUCUAACUCCCAUAGAAACUUGCCUAGCCUCCUAACUUCAAUUCCUCCUUUUUAAUAAAGGAUAGUAUUGUUAACCCUAUGUGCUUGCUGUACCUGCCCAUAACUUUGACAUAAGCCGGAACACUCGAUCUCUGCAUCUGAAUUCUGGGGUCAUUUUCUACUCAGUAAUAUUUUUUAUUCUCUGUGCCAAAGUGAAUAGCUUUACACUUGGCAAGAUUUUUGCCCAGUAAUUCAACUCUGCACUUGUGUACUCUUUAUGGUAUUAAUUUUCCUAGAUAACUUUGUCUUCUGAAAAUUUGAAAUGCUGUCUUUAUUGAUCAUUUUAAUCCUUGUAUUAUGAUUAUGGUAUUUGUGAUUAAAUACCUUUUUUAAACAGCAAAAAUUGCUGUCAGUUCAAGUUGCUGAAGUUAAUAUUAAAUAAGUAGAUUUUUCAAAGUUGUAAUGUUGUCUUGAGGUUAUGUAGAUAUUUUGCAUAAACAUGCCUGAUAUUGUCUGUUGGAUCAGCAUUAACAAUGUCUAUUUAGUUUUGCUUAUGUUUAAUGCUAUCUAAAUUAAUGCCCUGAUUAACAUUGUAAUCCAGAGACCACUAUAUUGGACAUCAGUGAAUUGGGCUGUUGAGUUUUUGAGAACACCUCCGUGGAAAGGCUGGAAUGAAUUGCAACAUAUUUCAAAUCUGACCUGUUUCCCCAGCAGCAUAUUUGAAAAAUAUGAAGUGCCUCUUAAGACUUGUAAAUAUGCAAUAAUCACUUGGUGGUUAUGUAGAAUAUAUUCAAAUAAAGAUAUUUAUUCAAAUUA